GACGAACGCUGGCGGCGUGCUUAACACAUGCAAGUCGAACGGAAAGGCCCUGCGGUGUUGUCGUGCUCGAGUGGCGAACGUGAGAGGAACACGAGAGUAACCUGCCCUUGACUUUGGGAUAACUUCAGGAAACUGGUGCUGAUACCGGAUAGGAGCUCCUGCGGCACGGUGGGGGUUGGAAAUUUUCGGCGGUUGGGGAUGGACUCGCGGCUUAUCAGCUUGUUGGUGGGGUAUUGGCUUACCAAGGCUUUGACGGGUAGCCGGCCUGAGAGGGUGACCGGCCACAUUGGGACUGAGAUACGGCCCAGACUCCUACGGGAGGCAGCAGUGGGGAAUAUUGCACAAUGGGCGGAAGCCUGAUGCAGCAACGCCGCGUGCGGGAUGACGGCCUUCGGGUUGUAAACCGCUUUCGCCUGUGACGAAGCGUGAGUGACGGUAAUGGGUGAAGAAGCACCGGCUAACUACGUG
rnacentral:rRNA from 1 species